rnacentral:rRNA from 1 species
GACGAACGCUGGCGGCGUGCUUAACACAUGCAAGUCGAGCGGUAAGGCCCUUUUGGGGGUACACGAGCGGCGAACGGGUGAGUAACACGUGGGUGACCUGCCCUCAGCUCUGGGAUAAGCCUGGGAAACUGGGUCUAAUACUGGAUAUGACCUUUCCUCGCAUGGGGUUGGGUGGAAAGUUUCUCGGCUGGGGAUGGGCCCGCGGCCUAUCAGCUUGUUGGUGGGGUGAUGGCCUACCAAGGCGACGACGGGUAGCCGGCCUGAGAGGGCGACCGGCCACACUGGGACUGAGACACGGCCCAGACUCCUACGGGAGGCAGCAGUGGGGAAUAUUGCGCAAUGGGCGGAAGCCUGACGCAGCGGCGCCGCGU